rnacentral:rRNA from 1 species
UACGUAGGGGGCAAGCGUUGUCCGGUUUUAUUGGGCGUAAAGAGCGUGUAGGCGGUCAGGUAGGUCCGUUGUGAAAACUUGAGGCUCAACCUCGAGACGCCGAUGGAAACCAUCUGACUAGAGUCCGGAAGAGGAGAGUGGAAUUCCUGGUGUAGCGGUGAAAUGCGCAGAUAUCAGGAAGAACACCCGUGGCUAAGGCGGCUCUCUAGUACGGUACUGACGCUGAGACGCGAAAGCGUGGGGAGCGAACAGG